UGGGAUAUAGCUCAGUGGUAGAGUGCAUGCUUAGCGUGAACCAGGUCCUGGGUUCCAUCCCCAGUACCUCUA
rnacentral:tRNA from 1 species